AACGAACGCUGGCGGCAUGCCUAACACAUGCAAGUCGAACGAGACCUUCGGGUCUAGUGGCGCACGUGUGCGUAACGCGUGGGAACCUGCCUUUAGGUUCGGAAUAACUCAGAGAAAUUUGAGCUAAUACCGGAUGAUGUCUUCGGACCAAAGAUUUAUCGCCUUUAGAUGGGCCCGCGUUGGAUUAGCUAGUUGGUGGGGGAAAGGCCUACCAAGGGGACGUUCCUUAGCUGGUCGGGUAGGAUGACUAGCAACACUGGGACUGAGACACGGCCCAGACUCCUACGGGAGGCAGCAGUGGGGAAUAUUGGACAAUGGGCGAAAGCCUGAUCCAGCAAUGCCGCGUGAGUGAUGAAGGCCUUAGGGUUGUAAAGCUCUUUUACCCGAGAUGAUAAUGACAGUAUCGGGAGAAUAAGCUCCGGCUAACUCCGUG
rnacentral:rRNA from 1 species